UGGCUCGGAUGUGCGGUUUUCUCUCGUGGGUAAAUAAAGUUGAGGGUCCCCUCCUGUUCCAGAGAAGCCUUUACAUUUUCUCUCUGUGAGCUAUUAAUAGCCUCCCUGUCGGUGGUGUUCGACCCUCUUCCCUAUUCCUGCUGGCUUUUCAGUUGGGCUUUGCUUAAGGUGAUGACGAUUGCAUUGUUUAAAGGUUCCGUUUUUAUAUCGUCCUAUUUAUCCAUUUAAAGAAGAUAUCGUUUCCAUUUUGAGCCGAAAGGGCUUAUGAAAUAAUUUCCUAAAUCUUCCUCUAGGUCGUCGUCUUCUUCUCCCUCAACAUCUACAUCGUCCAGCCGGGAGGUGCUUUCCCGGGGUUGGGUGGUGGUGGUCAGUCGCGCCCGACUCUUGGCGACCCCAUGGGACUGUAGGCCCGCCAAGCUCCUCUGUCCAUGGAAUUUUCCAGGCAAGAAUCCUGGAGCGGGUUGCCAUUUCCUGUUCCUCCUCCAGGGCAUCUUCCCCACGCACGAAUGGAACCCGCGCCUCUUGCGUCUCCCGCAUCUGCAGGCGGAUUCUUGACCACUGCCCCACCUUCCUCUGGAGCACGGUGUGAAUGAGCAAAUUUCCCCUUCAUACCACCUGUUUGAGAUGCCGCCUGUAAGCCUCAACGGCAUCCCAUGUGCAUUUUGGAGUCAUAGGCCUGGACGUGCCUUUAAACUGUAGCAGAACUCACGGACCUAACUACCUUUGAUACGCCGAGGCCCCGGGUUGACCUCUCCCGUCCGUGCAGACGGUGGGUGGUACACCCAGUCAGACAGAGCCCGACGCUGAGAGGUGACCCUUCAAGGCCAAGUAGGAAUCCCUUACACGAAUGACCCUUCUCCGGAGAACGGAUGCCGGCUCCGGCAGCGACGGGCAAUGUGGAGGGGACCGGCCCUCUGCCCGACCAGGAGUCCGAGGGAUCCUCCCGACCCAGGGAUCGAACCUGCGUCUCCCGCCCUGGCAGGCGGAUUCCUUGCCACCGCGCCACCUGGGAAGCUCUUGAGGGACCUGCUGAGAGGGUGGACGACUCGGUGCGGCUCCCACCUGGUGGGACCUCCUCAGGGCUCCAGGCCUCUCCCGGGUGGCUCGGGAUCCCUACCCGGACACACCCAAUGAGUGACCAGGUGCGAAGGACAGACAGGAAGCCAGCCCAGUCAGGAAGGCCUUCCUGACCCGGGAGACGGCCUCCAGGACAGGCUCCUUCCGUAUCCCAGACUGGGCCGGCUGGGUUCAGCUUCUCUGGGGGGGAACCAGCACGGCCCUGCUGUGCCCCACCUUUACCCAGGCCGGAGCCCUCCUAGCUCAGAUCAAGGCGCUUCUGUGACCCCUCUGUACGGUGCCCGUGUCCAGGCGGCUCUCCUCCCGAGCUUCACCGAGGAGAAAGCAGCUGGUGGUGUGUGACGGAGGGUCUGACUCUGCCUUGAGGUUCUGCCCGAGAGCUGCUAAGCCUCGCCCUUCCCUCGUCCCCUCUCACGCCGGACCCCGGCAAGCUGAUGAGAAAAGCCUCACGCCGGCCGCCCCUCUGCUCAGCACUAUC